AUUGAACGCUGGCGGCAGGCCUAACACAUGCAAGUCGAACGAGUGGCGGACGGGUGAGAAAUGUCUGGGAAACUGACUGAUGGAGGGGGAUAACUACUGGAAACUGUCGCUCAUACCGCAUACCAUCGGAUGUGCCCAGAUGGGAUUAGCUAGUGGGUGGGGGAAAGGCUCACCUAGGCGACGAGCCCUAGCUGGUCUGAGAGGAUGACCAGCCACACUGGAACGGAGACACGGUCCAGACUCCUACGGGAGGCAGCAGUGGGGAAUAUUGCACAAUGGGCGCAAGCCUGAUGCAGCCAUGCCGCGUGUAUGAAGAAGGCCUUCGGGUUGUAAAGUACUUUCAGCGGGGAGGCGUUACCCGCAGAAGAAGCACCGGCUAACUCCGUGCCAGCAGCCGCGGUAAUUC
rnacentral:rRNA from 1 species